GUGGGGGGCUCUGGAGGGAGUCUAGGGCCAGUGUGGGUCUGUGGGGUGCUAUAAGGGGAGAUUGGGCUUUAGGGGCUGGGGGACUGUAGGGAGGGUCUUAGGGCUGUAGAGGGGACAUGGGGUGCUAUGUGGCUGUAGGGAGCAGGGGAAUAUUAUGACGCUGUAGGGGGCUAUUGGGAAAGCUAUAUGGUUCUAUGGGGAGGCUAUAGGAGCUUUAUAGGUGGUUAUGGGGCUUUAGGGAGCUGUGGGUGGUCUGUAGGAGGGUUCUAGUAGGGUAGGAGGCUAUAGGGGGCUGUGGAGGGGAUAUAGGGAGAUAUGGGGCAGUAGUGAAUUUUUAGGGGGUUGUGGCGGGCUGUGGGAGGGUAUAGGAUGAUAGGGGGCCGGGGAGGGUCUGUAGAGAGGGAUGUUAUGCUGGAGAAGGUAUGGGGGGCUAAAAGUGGGCUGUGAGGGUUAUAGUAGGGCUGUGGUGGGCUAUUUAAAUAUAAGGAGAUAUGAGGCUAUAGAGUGUGUUUGGAGGAUGUGGUCCUCUAAGGGGCUGUGUGGGUCCAUAGGAUGAUCUGGAGCUAUAGGGUGAUCUCUAAAGGGAUGUGGGGCUUGAAGGCUCUCCCU
rnacentral:lncRNA from 1 species